UAGGUAAUCUGCCUUGGAGUGGGGGAUAACCAGUCGAAAGAUUGGCUAAUAUCCCAUAAGACCACAAGAUCUGCGGAUCAAGGGGUUAAAGGUUUUUCGCUCUAAGAUGAGCCUGCGUGAGAUUAGCUAGUUGGUGAGGUAACGGCUCACCAAGGCGACGAUCUCUAGAUGGUCUGAGAGGAUGAUCAUCCACACCGGAACUGAGACACGGUCCAGACUCUACGGGAGG
rnacentral:rRNA from 1 species